rnacentral:rRNA from 1 species
UACGAAGGAUGCAAGCGUUAUCCGGAUUUAUUGGGUUUAAAGGGAGCGUAGGCGGUCUUAUAAGUCAGUGGUGAAAUCUCUCGGCUUAACCGAGAAAUUGCCAUUGAUACUGUAGGGCUUGAGUACAGUUGCUGUGGGCGGAAUAUGACAUGUAGUGGUGAAAUACAUAGAGAUGUCAUAGAACACCGAUUGCGAAGGCAGCUCACAAAACUGUAACUGACACUGAGGCUCGAAAGUGCGGGGAU